UACAGAGGGUGCAAGCGUUGCUCGGAAUUAUUGGGCGUAAAGGGUAGGUAGGUGGUCUCAUUUGUCAGGGGUGAAAUCCUUGGGCUUAACCCAAGAAGUGCCCCUGAAACGGUGAGACUGGAGUGCUGGAGAGGGUCGUGGAAUUCCCGGUGUAGCGGUGAAAUGCAUAGAGAUCAAAAGGAACACCAAAGGCGAAAGCGGCGACCUGGACAGCUACUGACACUCAACUACGAAAGCGUGGGGAGCAAACAGG
rnacentral:rRNA from 1 species